CCUGCGUACUCUGACCAAUGAUCUCCUUCCCUGCAGCGUUCAGCCCUGCCACCACGCCCCCCUGGGCCCCCACGCUCUCCUGCAGCUCCUCAGGGUCUGUCUUCGCCUGUUUCAGAGUGGUCUCCGCACCACUCAACCAAUCACCAAGCACCUUCUGGUCCGCUACGAACUUCAGCCACUUAGCAUUGGACGUCUCCCAGCGCCUGCUCAGACACACACACACACACACACACACACACACACACACACACACACACACACACACACACACACACACACACACACACACACACACACACACACACACAAAUGAGAGCAGGAAAGUGGACACACGUUCACACACACACACACACACACACACAAAGAAACAACUGUGAGAUACCACUGAGAUCAGUCAAUGAGAGAAGCAGUGAGACAGUGAGUAUGUGGAGGGAGAGAAAUAGAAGUGGGAGCUGAACCAGCAGGACAGUUGAGGUGACAAUGGACACAAACUGAGGUGACAAUGGACACAAACUGAGGUGACAAUGGACACAAACUGAGGUGACAAUGGACACAAACUGAGGUGACAAUGGACACAAACUGAGGUCACAAUGGAGUGAAAACUAAACCGUGGAAACAAACAGUCCUGAUGUCAUCAGUCUGUGUCAACUGCAUUUACACUAGUGGUGAUGAUGUACUGUAGCUUGUCUACUAGUUAGUUAGUCUAGUGGUGAGGAUGUUACUGUAGCUUGUCUAGUUAGUUAGUCUAGUGGUGAUGAUGUUACUGUAGCUUGUCUACUAGUUAGUUAGUCUAGUGGUGAUGAUGUACUGUAGCUUGUCUACUAGUUAGUUAGUCUAGUGGUGAUGAUGUUACUGUAGCUUGUCUACUAGUUAGUUAGUCUAGUGGUGAUGAUGUACUGUAGCUUGUCUACUAGUUAGUUAGUCUAGUGGUGAUGAUGUUAUUGUAGCUUGUCUACUAGUUAGUUAGUCUAGUGUUGAUGAUGUACUGUAGCUUGUCUACUAGUUAGUUAGUCUAGUGGUGAUGAUGUUACUGUAGCUUGUCUACUAGUUAGUUAGUCUAGUGGUGAUGAUGUACUGUAGCUUGUCUACUAGUUAGUCUAGUGGUGAUGAUGUACUGUAGCUUGUCUACUAGUUAGUUAGUCUAGUGGUGAUGAUGUACUGUAGCUUGUCUACUAGUUAGUCUAGUGGUGAUGAUGUACUGUAGCUUGUCUACUAGUUAGUUAGUCUAGUGGUGAUGAUGUACUGUAGAUU
rnacentral:lncRNA from 1 species